CACCAAUCCUGUAGCGGUUUCAGCCGAAAAUGGAGACAAUUCAAAAGAUAUCAAUCAACAAAGCGGUAUACAGACAAGGAGGCAUACAAAGUUAUGUCAAUUGGUAUGUUAUACUGAUCACAUGUACCAUCCUCUUAUCUUACCUCUUC